ACAGGUGCUGCAUGGCUGUCGUCAGGCUCGUGUCGUGAGAUGUUGGGUUAAGUCCCGUAACGAGCGCAACCCUUGUCCUUAGUUACCGGCACGUUAUGGUGGGCACUCUAAGGAGACUGCCGGUGACAAACCGGAGGAAAGGUGGGGAUGACGUCAAGUCAUCAUGGCCCUUACGGCCUGGGCUACACACGUGCUACAAUGGUCGGUACAAAGGGUUGCCAAGCCGCGAGGUGGAGCUAAUCCCAUAAAACCGAUCGUAGUCCGGAUCGCAGUCUGCAACUCGACUGCGUGAAGUCGGAAUCGCUAGUAAUCGUGAAUCAGAAUGUCACGGUGAAUACGUUCCCGGGCCUU
rnacentral:rRNA from 1 species